rnacentral:rRNA from 1 species
AGAGUUUGAUCAUGGCUCAGGAUGAACGCUAGCGGCAGGCUUAACACAUGCAAGUCGAGGGGUAACAGGGUAGCAAUACUGCUGACGACCGGCGCACGGGUGAGUAACGCGUAUGCAACUUGCCUCUAACUUGGGGAUAGCCCGGAGAAAUUCGGAUUAAUACCCAAUAACAUUGCGAGGAGGCAUCUCUUUGCAAUUAAAACUCAGGUGGUUAGAGAUGGGCAUGCGUGCCAUUAGUUAGUUGGUGAGGUAACUGCUCACCAAGACUAUGAUGGCUAGGGGGUCUGAGAGGAUGAUCCCCCACACUGGUACUGAGACACGGACCAGACUCCUACGGGAGGCAGCAGUGAGGAAUAUUGGUCAAUGGGCGCAAGCCUGAACCAGCCAUGCCGCGUGCAGGAUGAAUGCACUACGUGUUGUAAACUGCUUUUGUACGGGACGAACCAUAGGAACGUGUUCCUAUCUGACGGUACUGUAUGAAUAAGCAUCGGCUAACUCCGUGCCAGCAGCCGCGGUAAUACGGAGGAUGCAAGCGUUAUCCGGAUUCAUUGGGUUUAAAGGGUGUGUAGGCGGAAUAUUAAGUCAGUGGUGAAAUCCUGCGGCUCAACCGUAGAACUGCCAUUGAUACUGAUGUUCUUGAAUGUAGUUGAGGUGGGCGGAAUGUAUAAUGUAGCGGUGAAAUGCUUAGAUAUUAUACAGAACACCGAUUGCGAAGGCAGCUCACUAAACUGCUAUUGACGCUGAGGCACGAAAGCGUGGGGAUCAAACAGGAUUAGAUACCCUGGUAGUCCACGCCGUAAACGAUGAUUACUCGUUGUGUGCGAUACACAGCACGCGACUGAGCGAAAGCAUUAAGUAAUCCACCUGGGGAGUACGAUCGCAAGAUUGAAACUUAAAGGAAUUGACGG